rnacentral:rRNA from 1 species
UACAGAGGGGGCAAGCGUUGUUCGGAAUUACUGGGCGUAAAGGGCGCGUAGGCGGCCUGCUAAGUCGAACGUGAAAUCCCUGGGCUCAACCCAGGAACUGCGUCCGAUACUGGUUGGCUUGAAUCCGGGAGAGGGAUGUGGAAUUCCAGGUGUAGCGGUGAAAUGCGUAGAUAUCUGGAGGAAUACCGGUGGCGAAGGCGGCAUCCUGGCCCGGUACUGACGCUGAGGUGCGAAAGCGUGGGGAGCAAACAGG